CCGGCUCGGAUGAACGCGGGCGGCGGCUUAUUCAUGCAAGUCGAGCGAACAGACAAGGAGCUUGCUCCUUUGACGUUAGCGGCGGACGGGUGAGUAACACGUGGGUAACCUACCUAUAAGACUGGGAUAACUUCGGGAAACCGGAGCUAAUACCGGAUAAUAUUUCGAACCGCAUGGUUCGAUAGUGAAAGAUGGUUUUGCUAUCACUUAUAGAUGGACCCGCGCCGUAUUAGCUAGUUGGUAAGGUAACGGCUUACCAAGGCGACGAUACGUAGCCGACCUGAGAGGGUGAUCGGCCACACUGGAACUGAGACACGGUCCAGACUCCUACGGGAGGCAGCAGUAGGGAAUCUUCCGCAAUGGGCGAAAGCCUGACGGAGCAACGCCGCGUGAGUGAUGAAGGUCUUCGGAUCGUAAAACUCUGUUAUUAGGGAAGAACAUACGUGUAAGUAACUAUGCACGUCUUGACGGUACCUAAUCAGAAAGCCACGGCUAACUACGUGCCAGCAGCCGCGGUAAUACGUAGGUGGCAAGCGUUAUCCGGAAUUAUUGGGCGUAAAGCGCGCGUAGGCGGUUUUUUAAGUCUGAUGUGAAAGCCCACGGCUCAACCGUGGAGGGUCAUUGGAAACUGGAAAACUUGAGUGCAGAAGAGGAAAGUGGAAUUCCAUGUGUAGCGGUGAAAUGCGCAGAGAUAUGGAGGAACACCAGUGGCGAAGGCGACUUUCUGGUCUGUAACUGACGCUGAUGUGCGAAAGCGUGGGGAUCAAACAGGAUUAGAUACCCUGGUAGUCCACGCCGUAAACGAUGAGUGCUAAGUGUUAGGGGGUUUCCGCCCCUUAGUGCUGCAGCUAACGCAUUAAGCACUCCGCCUGGGGAGUACGACCGCAAGGUUGAAACUCAAAGGAAUUGACGGGGACCCGCACAAGCGGUGGAGCAUGUGGUUUAAUUCGAAGCAACGCGAAGAACCUUACCAAAUCUUGACAUCCUUUGACAACUCUAGAGAUAGAGCCUUCCCCUUCGGGGGACAAAGUGACAGGUGGUGCAUGGUUGUCGUCAGCUCGUGUCGUGAGAUGUUGGGUUAAGUCCCGCAACGAGCGCAACCCUUAAGCUUAGUUGCCAUCAUUAAGUUGGGCACUCUAAGUUGACUGCCGGUGACAAACCGGAGGAAGGUGGGGAUGACGUCAAAUCAUCAUGCCCCUUAUGAUUUGGGCUACACACGUGCUACAAUGGACAAUACAAAGGGCAGCGAAACCGCGAGGUCAAGCAAAUCCCAUAAAGUUGUUCUCAGUUCGGAUUGUAGUCUGCAACUCGACUACAUGAAGCUGGAAUCGCUAGUAAUCGUAGAUCAGCAUGCUACGGUGAAUACGUUCCCGGGUCUUGUACACACCGCCCGUCACACCACGAGAGUUUGUAACACCCGAAGCCGGUGGAGUAACCAUUUGGAGCUAGCCGUCGAAGGUGGGACAAAUGAUUGGGGUGAAGUCGACAAGGGGUAACAA
rnacentral:rRNA from 1 species